AAUGCUAGGAAAAUGGGUCCAGCUUGGGGCUCAUAGUCUUGUGGUUCAGGGUUCAAAUCCUUGGGCCAGAUUGUGGCAAAGGAACUUACUCCUUGCCCAGUUUUUAUAGUUUUAUCAGACACCUAGUCUUGAUUUCCUAUCCACCUGGAAGAAAUCAGUAGAUUAUUCAGGCUUUUCCUGUAACUCUGUUCAGACCUUGAAGCUUUGGAGUGACUUGAAAACAUACGUAGUUAUGAUUGUAGUUUUCUACUGAUAAUUUUUUGUAGAUUAAGAUGUUUCUUCAUUUUUAAGCCUUUUAUUUGAUGAAUGUUGGUAUGAACCAUCUGAUUGUUUGAAUUGACCUUUUGAUAGGUGUUCAUCAGAGGGAAAGAACAAACCAAGUUGGAAGUAUUCAAGUCUCUGCAUUCUGGUCAUCCCCAGGUAAUGAGGCAAAGAUUAAUAGUGGUUUGCACUCAACUUGUCCAAUCGGCCCCAAGCAAACCAAUCCAACACUCAAACGGGGACAGACACAGUGUCUGGUGAUGGAAAGUAGCCCAGUGUUCAUGACAGAAAUCGAGAUUAUUCAACCAGGCGAAGUGCUUGGAGGUUUGAGGUAGGGACUUCAGUUGAUUUUGAAACUGUUGCUACUGGGGAGCGUAAGUCCCUGGUGUUCAUUUCUGUGUCAAUCCGCUUGGAAGGGAAUUGAAAGAGUUGGCCAGAUAUCCCUCGGCUUACACAAUGCAUACAAACCUCUAUUUUGAAGCAUACAGCAAAAAACCUCCCCAUCAAAGAUGCAGUGAGACCUUUUCAAGACUUGCUUAUGGGAAUCUUACAUGAAGGAUGAUGGUAAGAUGUAAGACCCUUCCAGCCUGUGGGGCUAAUGCCCCUAGAAUUAGGGUGCGUACUAAUUGCAGUGCCACUCGAGAUUCGAGGGGGGGAGCGAUUUAAGAGUUUCAUAGCUGAAGUGGCUAGUAUUGUAAAGACACUGGAUUUGUCAAUAACCUAAUCUUCACCUCUUCUGCACUUUUCUGAAAUGUAGUUUCACCCGUCUAACAAUUUUUGCAUGUUUUGAACAGAAAAUGUCCUUAAUUUCAAUAGCAAGACCACAUAUCCAAGCCACUGAUAGAAGUGUUUAAAUUAGCCCUGUCCAUUUGCUGAUUUUUCAGUUGUUCAAAACUCAAUUUUUGUGAUUUUGAAAAAUACAAACUGAAUUUUUUUUCUCAUCUGUUAUAAAAUUCCACCUUUAUAUAUAUCAGAUUUUGACGGAAAUUUAAAAGCGUGAGUCUCUUAGCGUUAUCAGUGGAAUUUUACUUAUUAAAAACCAAAAUUUGAAACACUUUCCUAAGACUGGCUUUUCUUUUUGGGGGGCAACUUUGUAGGCUUUGACUUUAUUGAAUUGCUGUAAGGUCUUUUAAGACAAAACCAAAUACCAAAGGCUAUAGAUGCAUGUGUAUAGCCUUACCAUACACGUAUUUAUAAUUCGGGGCGUGGAAAAUUUAGUGUUUUCAUGGAAACUUGUCGAGAAGUUGCUUAUUCACUGGGUCAUUCAUGAAGUGAAAAUAUAUCAUUGGCCAGAAAUUGAAAACCACAGGACAUGACAUAUUAAUAAUUUUUGGACAUGCAAAAAAUAAAACAAAACCAUUACAAAUAUACCACCAAAACCAACUUUGCUAUAUACUUACCGGUUUUGUUCAAGUUGAGGACAUGAAAAAAGCUAGCCAGAUGAAAUGCUCGUCCAUAAAAAUUUCAGUAAAAUCACAAGGCUAUAUAACCUUGCCCACAGUUUAUUACAGUUUGUUUAUGAAAUGCAUUUUUGAAGUUAUCAGGCGUCACUUUCAUUUUAUGGCUAUUUCAACACAAUUUUGAUCAUAUACAAUAACAGGUAACAGACUUGACAAAUUUUCAUGAAUUUCAUUUUCACAGACUCAUUUUUUAAAAAUCCCAAUAGAAAAAAAAUCGGACUGAAAAAUUCAGAAGUAUAUUUCCAUGAAAAGCUUUCAGAAAUAAUCAUCUUUGAUGAUUAGUUUCAGAGAAAUCACUGAAAACACUUUGUGACAAAAAAACUGGUAAAUCAGCAACACUUGGGCUUUCUUAAUUUUGGCAAAUUGCCUCGGAAAACAUUUGCCUCAUUUUCUGAAUUGCAACUUUUAAAUUAUGUUCAUAAUAUGUCAAUGAUUUUUUAUCAGAACAGAACAAAAAGACGAGGCUUGUGGUAUAGGCUAGAAGCCUCGUAAUUCUGUAAAUUAACAAUUUGCUUAAGUACCUUUAAGAAAGCACUCCUGAAGGCAUGAAUAUUCUCACGUAUGUAUAUUUCCGUUUUUUAUUAAUAUGUUCAUCUUUUAAGAGCAAUCAAGACAAUAUAGUCACAUUGAACAACAAAAACAGUCAACCACAACGGCAAUAUGCUACCUACACGUCAACAAGAUCUAGCCACAAACCUUGGUGGAUGUUAGUUAAAGCGUACCCACCUUAAACAGGGGUCCGAGUCAUUGAUACCAUGAGCAAAAUAAGGUUUAAUAGAAACAAUUGCUCACAGCAUGAGAAAACUGAUAAGUGUGUCAAAAUGCCAUAUGAUGCAUGUCUUGGAAUUAGUUCAAGUAUAUUGUAGAUGAUUUCUUUGCCCAAGUAAAUAAAUCACUUACCGGCAACUUAAAACCAUGGCCCUGAAAACCAUUUUAAAGGAAUCAUUCCCGAGCUCAGAAGAAUACAGUCCCAUAUAAUUUAAAAUGAAUGCCUAAGACUUCUUAAGUACACAUUGCAGCAUUACCAAUUAUCUACAUAUUCCCAAACAUCAGUACAAAGCAUCUUGG